UACGAAGAGGGCUAGCGUUGUUCGGAAUUACUGGGCGUAAAGCGCGCGCAGGCGGUUUCUCAAGUCAGUGGUGAAAGCCCGGAGCUCAACUCCGGAACUGCCAUUGAAACUGUGAGACUUGAGGACGAGAGAGGUGAGUGGAAUUCCCAGUGUAGAGGUGAAAUUCGUAGAUAUUGGGAAGAACACCGGUGGCGAAGGCGGCUCACUGGCUCGUUUCUGACGCUCAGGCGCGACAGCGUGGGGAUCAAACAGG
rnacentral:rRNA from 1 species